AAGAAGAAAUGAUGGAAUUUAUUGAAGAUGCUAGUCACAAUGCUCACAUACAAAUCGAUGCAACUUUUCCAUGUGCCAACGUCUGUUUUCCCUCUAAACAUCUGUAUGAAGUCGUUUACAAUAGGUUAAACACUGAUCUUUGUCUGUGGACUCCAUCAGCUCCAAAACAAAAAAAAUGGAAUACUCUUGAUAGUCUGAACUCGAUAAAUUUCUCAUUUUGUAAAUCUGGAUUACAUUAUGCUUCAAACUCUGAAUCAGAGUCGGAAUCAGAAGAUGGCGUGUCUUAUUGGUUCAAAAAGCUGAGCCUGUGAAAAAAGCCAAAGGACAGAGCGAGUUUACUUUUACUCUGAACGUCGGGGAAGGUGUUUUCACUGUUCUUCCUCACAACAAAGUGAGUUUUUUUCUUUCAUUCUCACUACAGUAAAUUGCACGAAUGCCGUAUCAUUGACUGUUCUUUAUAAAAUCCUAUGCAAUAAGAAUCAAA
rnacentral:lncRNA from 1 species